AUUGAACGCUGGCGGCAUGCUUUACACAUGCAAGUCGAACGGCAGCGCGGGCUUCGGCCUGGCGGCGAGUGGCGAACGGGUGAGUAAUACAUCGGAACGUGCCCAGUUGUGGGGUAUAGCUCGGCGAAAGCCGGAUUAAUACCGCAUACGACCUGAGGGUGAAAGCGGGGGAUCUUCGGACCUCGCGCUAUUGGAGCGGCCGAUGGCAGAUUAGCUAGUUGGUGGGGUAAAGGCCUACCAAGGCGACGAUCCGUAGCUGGUCUGAGAGGACGACCAGCCACACUGGGACUGAGACACGGCCCAGACUCCUACGGGAGGCAGCAGUGGGGAAUUUUGGACAAUGGGCGAAAGCCUGAUCCAGCAAUGCCGCGUGUGUGAUGAAGGCCUUCGGGUUGUAAAGCACUUUUGGCGGGAAAGAAAAGGACUGUGCCAAUACCACGGUUCGAUGACGGUACCCGAAGAAUAAGCACCGGCUAACUACGUG
rnacentral:rRNA from 1 species